rnacentral:pre_miRNA from 1 species
UAUAAUUUUUGAGUCUUCGUCUUAUUCAAAUUUUUUUGCGAUUGAUAUUUUUGUUUUUAUUAGAUAAUAAAUCAUGAAUAGUACUUUACGUGUGACUAAUUUUUUUCUAAUUUUCUAAAAAUUUCUCAAAUAAGACGGAUAAUUAAACGUUGGACACGUAAAUC